CUUCAAUGGUGGGGCUGAUGAAGGGGUCCAGUGGGGCAAAUGCCCCACCAGUCCAUAGUAUUUUUAAAAAUGCCUUGAUCACUCAUGUUUCUACCCUAGAUACGAUAAUCGUGAGUUAAAAUAUCAGUUGAAGGGUUCAGUCAUUGUUCAUGGAAAUACGUUGGAGAUGACAGAAAUGUGUAAUGAUGUAAUAUGUUUAUUUCGGUUUGCGCCAGUUGCACUACUCUUUGUAAAUCCUCAAAAUAUUAUAUGGUAUGGAUUUUUUUUUAUUUUUGGUCGCUGGGGCAUGAGGCUAACGACUUUAAGCUUUCUUUUCAGUUUUUCUACUCUUUUCUUCAGUCACAAUUUGAGGCAUUACGUAAUCUUUCAACUACAAAUCAAUGAUCUCACUGGGUUGCCAUUUGUUCUUCCACCUUCGGACCCGUGCAAUUUCGAACAUCUUUCAAAAAUUCAAUCGUGCAUGUUUUUUCAAUACUAUAACAGUUUUGAUAAUAUACAUGAAAUCAUAUUUCAAUUCUGAG
rnacentral:lncRNA from 1 species